rnacentral:rRNA from 1 species
UACAGAGGUCUCAAGCGUUGUUCGGAUUUAUUGGGCGUAAAGAGCUCGUAGGUGGUUCGGUAAGUCGGAUGUGAAAUCUCCAGGCUCAACCUGGAGGGGUCAUUCGAUACUGCCGUGACUAGAGUUCGGUAGGGGGAGUGAUGGAAUUCCCAGUGGUAGCGGUGAAAUGCGUAGAUAUUGGGGAGGAACACCAGUGGGCGAAGGCGGCUCACUGGAC